rnacentral:rRNA from 1 species
GGCGUGUGGGAUGAAGGCCUUCGGGUUGUAAACCACUGUCAGUGGGGACGAACGUCCAGUGGGUUCUCCCAUUGGAUUGACAGAUCCGCAGAGGAAGUGAUGGCUAAGCUCGUGCCAGCAGCCGCGGUAAGACGAGCAUCACAAACGUUAUUCGGAAUUACUGGGCUUAAAGGGUGCGUAGGCGGUGCAGCAAGUCGGGAGUGAAAUCCCACAGCUCAACUGUGGAAUUGCUUUCGAUACUGCUGUGCUUGAGUGAGACAGAGGUAAGCGGAACUUAGGGUGGAGCGGUGAAAUGCGUUGAUAUCCUAAGGAACACCGGUGGCGAAGGCGGCUUACUGGGUCUCUACUGACGCUGAUGCACGAAAGCCAGGGUAGCGAACGGGAUUAGAUACCCUGGUAGUCCACGCCCUAAACGAUGUCGACUGGUUGUUGGGGGUUUGACACUCUCAGUAACGAAGCUAACGCGUGAAGUCGACCGCCUGGGGAGUACGGCCGCAAGGUUA